GAGACCCGUCUCAGUAUAUAGAUAGCCUCUGUUGAUGAUAUACUGUCAUCCUUGUGCAUCUGACUCAGUUGCUACUGUAUCAACUGUAGCCUACAUUUAGGUUUGAAUUAGAUAACGUUCUGGAGAUACUCUGAUAAAUGCCAGGUAGUAAUGUCCUGUCAAAAAAUAAGAAAGUUUAGCCAUGCGUUAUUGCAGAAAAGUAAGGCAGCUUCGCUUUGCAGGGGUUUAAAAACAUCUGUUGCGUCUUAUGGUAACGUGGCAUCUAGAGGUCCGACCAACCAAAUAGGAAAAUGCUGCGAAAAUGGUCAAAGUUGUGGAUCAAAUUCGGGUAUCCAGGCUACAGGGUCCACAGCCAUCCCAACUUCUCCAUCACCCGCAAAUCACAGACAAGUCGGAGGCAAGAAAUUUAAGGAGGUGUCGCCGAAGUUUUCUGAAAGGGCAUUCACUACAGCACCCAAGAUUGACUCCAAGGUGUACCUUUGGUCAAGGUAUAAUGAGAUGAAACGACUUGUGCACGAUUUGAUUCCUCCAGGUGUAUGUAACUUACUGAACCCCUCCACCAUCUAUGCCAACAAUGAGGUUGACUUGGACGAAGUGGAAAUCUAUGGCUUUGAUUAUGACUACACGCUCGCUUUGUACUCCAACACUCUUGAUACAAUGAUCUACAACACAGCUCGAGACUUCCUUGUCAAACACUACAAGUAUCCAGAGGGCAUUAGCAAGUAUGACUAUAUUCCCAACUUCGCUGCUCGUGGUCUCCACUAUGACAUUCAGAAGGGACUGUUGAUGAAAAUUGAUGCCUUCCAUUACAUUCAGCUUGGGACUGUAUACAGGGGUCUGAAUCCUGUCCCAGAUGAGGAGGUUUUGGAGCUCUACGGUGGAACUAACCAUGUCCCUCUUGAGGAAGUCAGUGGCUUCUAUGGAAAGGGUCCUGUGAUGAAGCAGUUCAUGGAUGUUUUCUCCAUCCCAGAGAUGACUCUCCUGGCUGCUGCCAAUGACUACUUCAACUCCAAUGACAUUGAAUAUGACCCUGGUCAUCUCUACAAAGACGUUUCAGAUGCCAUUGGAAUGGUGCAUAUCAAAGGCUACAUGUACAAGUGGAUAAUGCAAGACUUGGAGAAAUAUAUCCUCAGAGGUGAUGAGACAUAUGCAGUUCUACACCGUCUGGCAAGCCAUGGCAAGAAGCUCUUCCUUAUAACCAACAGCCCAUUUAGCUUUGUAGACAAAGGGAUGAAAUACAUGGUAGGAAAGGACUGGAGGGACUUAUUUGACAUUGUCAUUGUUCAAGCUGACAAACCACACUUCUUCAACAGCUGUGGCAAACCUUUCAGACGUUUGGAUAGCAACGGGGACCUUCAGUGGGACAAGAUCAAGAGCUUGGAUAAGGGCCAGGUCUACAAACAGGGCAACCUGUUUGACUUUCUCAGGCUCACAGGAUGGAGAGGAUCCAAGGUGCUGUACUUUGGAGAUCAUCUGUACAGUGACUUGGCAGACCUGAUGCUGCGUCACGGCUGGCGGACAGGAGCCAUAGUACCGGAGCUGGAGGUGGAGACCAGGGUUGUGAACACGGAGCAGUAUGCCCAGGGCCUCACCUGGCUGCAGGCACUCACCGGUCUGCUGGAGCGCAUGCAGCAUGUACACGAAGUACACCAUCAUGCUUUCUGGAUACGCGUCUUUUCAGAUUCCAUAAUGAUUCUUUAGUUGUGGACACUACAUCACCGCACUCCCCCUCUUGUUCUUGGUCCUCAUCCUUAUGCAUCGAGAUCCAGAGUCAAAGAAAGUUCUGCAGGAUUGGUUGAAGGAGAGAGAAGAGCUUCGAGCUGUGACCAAGAACCUGUUCAACCCUCACUUUGGUAGCAUUUUCCGCACCUGCCACAACCCCACCUACUUCUCCCGUCGCCUGUGCCGCUUCUCUGAUGUCUACAUGGCAUCCAUCAGCUGUCUGCUGAACUACGACCUCUCCUACACCUUCUACCCUCGUCGCACCCCCCUGCAGCAUGAGGCUCCCCUGUGGAUGGAUCAGCUUUGCACUGGCUGCAUGAAGACUCCCUUUCUGGAGGAGAUGGCUCACAUCCGCUGAGAGGGGCAAUACAAGAUCUCACAAACUGCAAACUGAAUAUGAAGAUGCAGGAACUGAGGCUAAGCUGAGAGUAAGGAGGCAUGGUGGACAACCCAGUAGAGGUUAAAGGUCUGCACGGAUCAUGAGUGGGGCGGCAGGGUAGCCUAGUGGUUCGAGCGUUGGACUAGUAACCAGAAGGUUGCAAGUUUGAAUCCCCGAGCUGAAAAGGUACAAAUCUGUCGUUCUGCCCCUGAACAGGCAAUUAACCCACUGUUCCUAGGCUGUCAUUGAAAAUAAGAAUUUGUUCUUAACUGACUUGCCUAGUAAAAUAAAGGAAAAAGAGAGAAAAAAAGUACCCCCUGCUGUAUGCCAGUAGGCCUACAGUAGUAGCAUAUCAUAAUUUCUGCCUAUUCAAGUCACCCAAUAUCACUUGGUUGGCCAGGACAUUUGACGGGUUUAGCUAUUAGUUUUAUUUUUUAGGUUAGUUCAGGUUGUAACUUGUUAUCCACACCAUGUACAAAUGUAUGUUUUUGAUAUCUGUCACAUGAUGACUUUUUAAAUCUCAUUUUAAACAUGUAGCCUGUAACGGACUGAUGUCAUAUAAUGAUAUACAGUAUCUUAUGACCGCAUCAGUUUGAGUUUUGAUGAAUGGAUCUUGAUUAUUAGAAUUUUUUACAAGUAUAUUUUAAGUCAUUGGUGUUACCACCUUGAAAAUCACUCAUUACAAAGGACCUUGAGCAUAGGGGCCUAUAUUAAAGGAAAGGAUUAGUUAAUCAAACCCUUUUAGUGUGUCGUAAAUGUGAGGAUUGAGAAUUGUUUAAAUAAAGUGUCAUUGGUGUUG